GCUACACAUGCAGUCGAGCGGAACGAGAAGUAGCUUGCUACUUCGGCGUCGAGCGGCGGACGGGUGAGUAAUGCAUAGGAAGUUGCCCAGUAGAGGGGGAUAACCAUUGGAAACGAUGGCUAAUACCGCAUAACCUCUUCGGAGCAAAGCGGGGGACCUUCGGGCCUCGCGCUACUGGAUACGCCUAUGUGGGAUUAGCUAGUUGGUGAGGUAAUGGCUCACCAAGGCGACGAUCCCUAGCUGGUCUGAGAGGAUGAUCAGCCACACUGGGACUGAGACACGGCCCAGACUCCUACGGGAGGCAGCAGUGGGGAAUAUUGCACAAUGGGCGAAAGCCUGAUGCAGCCAUGCCGCGUGUAUGAAGAAGGCCUUCGGGUUGUAAAGUACUUUCAGUUGUGAGGAAGGGUGUGUAGUUAAUAACUGCGCAUUUUGACGUUAGCAACAGAAGAAGCACCGGCUAACUCCGUGCCAGCAGCCGCGGUAAUACGGAGGGUGCGAGCGUUAAUCGGAAUUACUGGGCGUAAAGCGCAUGCAGGUGGUUGUUAAGUCAGAUGUGAAAGCCCGGGGCUCACCUCGGA
rnacentral:rRNA from 1 species